rnacentral:tRNA from 1 species
GGCUCCAUAGUGUAGUGGUUAGCACGUCUGCUUUACACGCAGAAGGUCCUGGGUUCGCACGCCAGGUGGAGCCA